GCUUACGGCCACACCGCCUGGUUCACGCCUGAUCUCAAUUGAUCACGGAAGCUAAGAUAGGGUGGGCCAGGUUAGUACUUGGAUGGGAGACCGCCUGGGAAUACCAGGUGCUGUAAGCU
ensembl:rRNA 5S_rRNA 5S ribosomal RNA